CCUACGGGAGGCAGCAGUGAGGAAUAUUGGUCAAUGGGCGCGAGCCUGAACCAGCCAAGUCGCGUGAGGGAAGACGGUCCUAUGGAUUGUAAACCUCUUUUGUCGGGGAGCAAAAGACGCCACGCGUGGCGUUCCGCGAGUACCCGAAGAAAAAGCAUCGGCUAACUCCGUGCCAGCAGCCGCGGUAAUACGGAGGAUGCGAGCAUUAUCCGGAUUUAUUGGGUUUAAAGGGUGCGUAGGCUGUGAGGUAAGUCAGCGGUGAAAUGCCCCCGCUCAACGGGGUGAAGUGCCAUUGAUACUGGCUGGCUGGAAUGCGGAUGCGGUGGGAGGAAUGUGUGGUGUAGCGGUGAAAUGCAUAGAUAUCACACAGAACACCGAUUGCGAAGGCAUCUCACGAAUCCGCGAUUGACGCUGAUGCACGAAAGCGUGGGUAUCAAACAGGAUUAGAUACCCUUGUAGUC
rnacentral:rRNA from 1 species